rnacentral:lncRNA from 1 species
GUUGAAGACUUCAGUGUGUUUGAGCUCCUGCAUCUGAGGGAGGCUUGUUCUGCUGCCACAGGUGAGUAGCUAUCAGGUUUCAUUCAAGGCCAACUCAGGGCAACUCAGGGAAGAGGUAAAACAUGCCUUCAGAACACUGCAUCCCUUUUUCAUUUUAUUUUUAAAUCCAUGAUAUAAUUAUAUCUUCUUCUUCAGACCCCUAGUACUUUUAAAAUACAUUUUCUGCUCUGAGAGUGUUUACAAUAAAGUGUAAAUGACUGAGGACUAUAAUUAAGGUGUUUUGUAUUGCAUAGGGAUUUACAUUUUACCCCAAACUCUAUCCUAAAAACCAUCAAACUCCAAGAGUACAUCUUGAGGUAAAUGAAGUGAGAGGAGGAGCAUUUAUAGAAGUGUAUAUAGAAUCUGAAACCAUAUCAGACUGAUAUAUAUCUAUUUCAUGUUUGAAUAAGAAUAGUCUGGGGUCCCCAAAUACACAUGUCUAGUUCAACCCAAUGUAGUACACAUGUCUUGACACCUUAAUAUUUCUUAUCAGGCAUCUCUUUUUACAGGAUGGGUCAGCUUGGUGAAUCUCUAGGGAGCCAUAUGAUUUGCUUCUUCACAAAGCAUCUCUGCUUUCACUGCUCAAGGAAAUGGGAGGGCUUGCUCAGUGCCACUCAGUCCUGCACUCACUAAUUCCUUCAUAGGGAUCAGCUGUCAUGUACCAGAUCCAGGAAAACAGAGAUACCUAAGUAAUGACUUUUACUCUCAAACAAUUUCCCUACAAGAGGGUACAUUCAUAGACUCAUGUAAAUAAAUAGUGAUGGCUUGAUAAUUUCUUCGAUGAAUAUAAAUGCCAGCAAUAUGGGAGUAGAUUUUUCCAUCAAGGUGUCUUUGAAUUGCUUUUACAAAGUCAGUUCUAUCUGAUAAGUACCUCUCUAGAACUCAAAUUUUGUGUUGUUCUUCAGAUCCUACAUUGAGGCAAAAGUCACAGUGGCCUGCAUGGUAUGGUCUACCCCUUUGCCACCCACCUGCUCCAUCCUUGCUCCUGCCAGCAUAUGUGGAGUAAGCUUUUAAGGCUAUGUUUGUGAUUAGGUUGGUUUGAAGUCUUUUGUUGUUGGAUAGAGGUGACACAUUAACUUAGGAAAGACUAGAUUUAAAAGAUAUUACAAAUUCCUUGGAUAACCAGAAACUUCCGUGUAACAUGCACUAUGAAAGAGAAGUUUAUUUGGCUUUUAUUUUUUUUAAUGAGAAAAAGAGCAUUUAUUAGUUUGCAUUUAUUUGGCUUUUAAACAAAAAGAUAACACUUGACGAGAACAUUAGACCCUGACAUCUCAAUUAUCUUCUUUUAAGCUAAUUAUGCUACUAAGUUUCCAACAUAUUGGUCAAGCACAUCAUUGGGAAUGAAGAUCGAAGGAUCAUCUUGACUUGCUCCAUGGGGCCUUGUGAAGUAUCUCAGGUCUGUAAAACUCUUGAAGGGAGAAGCUGGUGACCCCAGGAGUUGUGCAAUGUGGAGACAGCACCCUGUUCACAAAUGGCUUGGUUCACUCUGUCCCCCUUUCCUUAUAUCUGCCAUCAGUUGAACUCAUAGGACAGAAGGUUAAACAGUGGAUUUCCAGAGCUAUAAGGGACCUGGAUUCCUCUUAGAGUCAGGGGUAGAACAGUUUAUUGCUCAGCUCAUGAAGCAGACAUAUUUGAGUUUGAACCAUGGCUCUGUGCUUCAUUGGAGAUCCAUAAAAUGAAUAAAAUAAUAAUAUUUCAUGAAAUCAUGUAGCCUAAAUACUUGGAAUCUGAUGCAGUUAAAUAUACAAAUAAAUGUUAAUUCCUAUUAUAAUCUUACCUCCUAUCCCUCCUUUUAAAAAUUUACUUUGGGACUCAGUGAUAUGAAAUGACUCAUCUGAAGUCUUAUAGCUGAUUAAUAAUAGUCAAACUUAAUUUAGUGUUGCCUUAACAGCAUCCUAGGAUUUGCCCAGUAGAAUUUUGUUUUUAGCCACCUUUGAAUGUCCAUAAGCGUGGCUCUCAGCACAUAAGACUCUAUAUUGUCCUUCUUCUGCAACUGAUUUUCACACUUAAACCAUGACAUACUUUCCCCCCAUGUAUUUCAAUAGUUUUGGUAUUGAUCUUUGAGCUGUUAGCCUUAACAUUCUGCUUUUCAAAGUCUGUUGUCUGGAGAGCUAAACCCACAGUGGACUGUGUCCCUAACUCAGCCCAGAUCUCCUUUGAUCCUUUUUUACCAUUUAUGUCUGUGAGAUUAUUCUCUUCUGUUUGUUUGAUUUUCUUCUAACAGUAUUCUCUUGAAAUCCUUCUGGAGUCCAAGAUGUGCAGAUAGGCAGCAGGAUGUAGGAUUUUAUGUUCUUUAAAACAUAAAAUCCAAGCCCUUAGCCCAAGAGGGUUUGGGCAGGAAUACAAAACCCCCGUCUCCAUGCCCGUGAUCAGGACAAACUCCGAAACGUAGUUUAUAUAACAGACCUCCCUCUGGGGAUCUAGGCUGAAGCUAGCAGUUUGUCUGAAAUUCCACCUUUUCUUGGAUGCUUCUCCUUCUGUGUCCUGCCUCUGUGCUUGGCAGUGAGUCCUUAUCUCAGAGUCUGGUUCUGGAACCUCCAGCCAAGCAGAGCAUUAUUUAUGAACAAGCUACCCUCUGUUUUACAUAUAUACUUCCUCAUACCAGAAAUUAUUCAGGGGGUGGAAUUUCUUGCUAUUUCAGUGAAAUCACAUAUGCAAAGUCUCUUUGUACAUGGUGCAUGCUAUAGAAAUGUGAAUAUGAUUCUUCACAUUUUAUUUCCUUUGCUGUUAUUUUGAAUAAAUCCAGUCUAUAGUGUGCAUAUCAGAAUUUCCAUGUCUCACUUUUCAACUGCAUUGGAGUGUAUUUUCCCAUUUAUGACACUUUAGUUCCUCUGAAGACCCCUCGCACUGAUUGUCUCAGGUCAGAAAUUAUAGUUAUUAAAGGAUGCAGAGCCAGGAUGCUUCGUGCAUCCAAGGCUAGGUUAUAUUUUCUCCAUAAUAUCUGAUAUGCCCUUAUUAUCUAAUUAAUAACAUAUUUUAGUAUAUAAAAGUAUUUAAAGGUACAUACUUCACUAUAAUUGUCAAUUAUUUUUCUCAGGCUUUCCCCCUCAUAUUUUUUUUUGGGGGGGGGGAUUUAGCCUUUCAUUUGCAAACAAAUGUCCAAGGAAUAAACAAGCUUACUGCAACCAAGAAUGUUGGUUGAUACAAAUCAACUGAUACAAAUCUUCAGUUCUUCGUCCUGAUGUUCACUUUCAUGAUUUCAAUAGCAAAUACUUGUCUACUAAAAAGUCCAGAAAAAGUUAAGAUGCUUAUUUUUUUCCUAUGGUUCUCUGUGGUUUCUGCUAAAACCAUACCUUCUGUGGCUGCAUUUGUAAUGGCUUCAUCAGGACUUGUCUGCCAAGGGGAAGGCUGAAGUUUCCCACCUGCAAUUGGUGCUGGGCCAGCAUCUGUCCUCUAAUCCCACAACCCACCAUGGUUUUUUUGAAUACCAAAGGUGCUUUUAAAAGCCCAUGCAGAAGUGGAUGCUGAAACUCCCACAUAGUCAUUUUGCUUCAAUGUGAUGUACAUUCUAUAGUCUGCAACCGGUGACAGAUCUCAUGGGAGGGCUUUUAACCCUCAGUCUGCCAUAGCCAAGACCUCUAGCUUGAAGAGAUUGUGAGAAGUGAAUUUGAGGUUAACCACUUCAUCUCCCAGAUGUUCCAAUUCAGACUUACCUCUGAUUUAGUUAGUUAAGAAUGUUAUGCAAGCCAUCAACAAAGCUGGGAAACUAUGACCAGAUGCCAUUGCUGUGAGGUCCUGGGUAUGGUCCCAGCAGUGCCCUGCUAUGUAGACUUGGAGCUGAGAUCACUGGGCAUAUGACAACAGUAUUCAGCACAGGAGAGAUCCCUGGCCCCGUGCAAAGGGUUUUUUGUUUGUUUUUGAUUCCUUGAUGAUUGUUUACAAAUUGUAAAUUCUGUAUUUUAACUUGAACAAUUGUUAUACUUGUUUGCAAAUAAAUCAAAAUGAGAAGUUCCGAGUAAUCAGUUUGGUUCUAAUAAAAAAAAAUCUCUAGCCAUUAGAAAAAUACAAAUUAAAACUACACUGACAUUUCAUCUUACUCCAGUCAGAAUGGCAAUUAUCAAGAGUAUAAGUAACAAUAAAUGUUGGUGAGGAUGUGGGGAAAAGGAUACAAUCACACAUUGCUGGUGGGACUGCAAAUUGGUGCAACCACUCUGGAAAACAGUAUAGUUUCCUCAAAAAACUAGGAAUGGAACUACCAUUUGGCCUAACUAUCCCAUUCCUCAAUUUUUAUCCAAAAGUUUUAAAAUCAGAAUACCACAGUGAUGCAGCAACAUCAAUUGUCAUAGCAGCUAAAUUCACAAUAGCUAAGCUAUGGAACCAACUUGGAUUCCCUUUAACAGAUGAAUGGAUAAAGAAAUUGUGGUAUAUAUGCACAAUGGAGUAUUACUCAGCCAUUAUGAAGAAUGACUUUAAGACAUUUGCAAGUAAAUGGAUGAACCUGAAGACUAUCAUACUAAGUGAAAUAAACCAGUUCUCCCAAACCAAAAGUUGAAUGUGUUUGCUGAUACAUGGAAGCUAAUCCACAAUAAGGGUAUAGAAGAGAGGAAAAUAUAUUCAGUAGAUUAGACAAAGGGCAAUGAAGGGAAGGGAGGCAGGAUAGGAAAAAGAAAGGCAGUGGAAUGAAUCUGAAAUAAUUUUACCAGGUAUUUAUAUGAAUACACCAUAGUGAAUCCCAC